GCUCCCCUUGGGCCAAAACCGACUAAAAACCAGAAGGCAAGAGAGUCCAUUGACGUGGUCCCUACAGGUCAGCCACCUCGGGCCCACAACAGGGUGCAGAAGAAUGGAAGUAGGACCUGGAAGGGCAAACAGGAGAUGGUAUUUGGCGUGAAUCCCCAAAGAGGUCCUCCCUGCCUGCAUAAGGGAUGGUGAUCUCAACAUUCUGGGUCAGAACCAGCAGGAAUGUAUCCAGUUAAAGGGGAUUAGCCAUUUCCCCCAGCAAUGAUAAGCAGGGGUUAUACUGUGGCAGUCAGCUGUAAAUGGUGAGUGUUUGCUACCUCAAGUUCAUUCAGCUUUAUCCUUUGGGAUGCUCGAUAAAAUGUACAAAAUAGAGGAGUUCCCGUCGUGGCACAGUGGUUAACGAAUAAGGAAC